AUUGAACGCUGGCGGCAGGCUUAACACAUGCAAGUCGCGCGAGCGGCGGACGGGUGAGUAAUGUCUGGGAAACUGCCUGAUGGAGGGGGAUAACUACUGGAAACGGUAGCUAAUACCUCAUACCAUCAGCUGUGCCCAGAUGGGAUUCGCUAGUAGGUGGGGUAAAGGCUGACCUAGGCGACGAUACCUAGCUGGUCUGAGAGGAUGACCAGCCAGACUGGAACUGAGAAACGGUCCAUACUCCUACGUGAGGCAGCAGGGGGGAAUAUUGCACAAUGGGCGAAAGCCUGAUGCAGCCAUGCCGCGUGUGUGAAGAAGGCCUUCGGGUUGUAAAGCACUUGCAGCGAGGAGGCGUUACUCGCAGAAGAAGCACCGGCUAACUACGUGCCAGCAGCCGCGGUAAUUC
rnacentral:rRNA from 1 species